rnacentral:rRNA from 1 species
AGGGAAAGAGGGAGGCAGGCCUAACACAUGCAAGUCGAGCGGAUGAAGGGAGCUUGCUCCUGGAUUCAGCGGCGGACGGGUGAGUAAUGCCUGGAAUCUGCCUGGUAGUGGGGGAUAACGUCCGGAAACGGGCGCUAAUACCGCAUACGUCCUGAGGGAGAAAGUGGGGGAUCUUCGGACCUCACGCUAUCAGAUGAGCCUAGGUCGGAUUAGCUAGUUGGUGGGGUAAAGGCCUACCAAGGCGACGAUCCGUAACUGGUCUGAGAGGAUGAUCAGUCACACUGGAACUGAGACACGGUCCAGACUCCUACGGGAGGCAGCAGUGGGGAAUAUUGGACAAUGGGCGAAAGCCUGAUCCAGCCAUGCCGCGUGUGUGAAGAAGGUCUUCGGAUUGUAAAGCACUUUAAGUUGGGAGGAAGGGCAGUAAGUUAAUACCUUGCUGUUUUGACGUUACCAACAGAAUAAGCACCGGCUAACUUCGUG